AAAUGUCAAACUAAAAUAUUAAAGGGUACAGAAUUUCACAAAUGAAAAGACACAAAAGUGUUGCAAUCUGGGUGGGGCAGGGAAUUGGAGAGGAGUGUGGCUAUGCAGAAAAGCGUUUUCAAAGUAUUUCAGCAAGUGAUUGGGUAAGAAGACAGAGUCUAAGUUUAAACCAGGGCUCAGUUUGUUGGCCUGUGGCUUGUGCAGUAUCAUCCGGUCAGCAGGGGCCAGUCCAAUGUCAAAAUCUCUAAGUGGACGCAUCCCAGCUCCUGUGGCCAGCCAGAGGUGCUGAUGCUUGUCUUCACUGGGCAAGUUGGUAAAGCCAGAAUAAAAACUCUGAUGUAAUAUUGCUAUUGUUAUGUAAGGCCAAGCACACCUGAGAGAACUGUAAGAUCUGGAGCAGACAUGCCUGGAUGGCUACCUGGGAGGACACGAAAGAACUGGGCAUCUUCUGGCCAUUUGCUGGGAAAUGGUGAUGACCAUUAUAGACAUGGAAGUCCUCUUCUGUGGAUCAGUGGCACUGCCCCAAGCCAUAGAACAAAAAGUGAUGACCGGAGCGGGGCAUGGAGGAUCCUAAUGCUGGUGAGGAGUGAGGAAUGGACAAGGAUACCUGAGCUCACAGAAUCAGGAUUGCUACCUCCCUUUCUAGAGACAGAAUACAAGGGCCACUAUGGGAAUCUUUGCCUGAUGGGAUCGAUUUGGGGAGCAGUACAUAGACCCUUUCUGCCCAGUGCCUUUUGCAAAUGGCAUUGGGGCAGAGGAGUUCUGUGUAUUGCCCCCCAUAUGAUUAUUACACGAUUAUUAAAUCUAACUCAUUUUCAAAAAGAGAGAUACAGAACCACCAAUUACAGUUUUUGAUGAACACAAGAUAACUGGCCACCACCUGGAGCUAAUGUGACUCUUGCCAGGAGCAAAGCAACUCAGCAUUUUCAACCUUUUCUGCCGAACCGUAGUGCAGACCUAGGUAUGAUUUCUCCCAGCUCUUAUAGAAUAUCUAAACUAGCUAAGGAAUCCCCUGUUUCUGCCACUGUAGAUACCAGCUGUCUCAGGGGGCUGCAACUGUUAUGUAACCACCAGAGACCCUAGUCUGGGUCACUAGCAGGCUCCAGGGAAAUGCCUUCUGCAGCACCCAGCCCCUGGGGUUCUGGCCUGAUCCCAGGUUCCUGGAGAUACGGUGUCUACUCUGCCCUCUCCUCUCCACCCCUGCCCCACCUUGAUGACCUAGGAACUUUCAGAGGUCAGCACAGUGUGACUGGAAAGAGAAUAGGGUUUGGAAUCAGACAGACCUGCACUGGCCAUACAGUCUUGUUAUUUACAUUUCCUGAAUCUGCGUCCUCAUCUCCCAAAUGCAAAAGAUAAUAGGAUUAAUUUCCUAGGCUCUUAGGAGGCUUCAGAGAGAAAGUGUGUCUAUAGCAACUGGCACACCAUAGGCUUUUCAGUGCUAUCCUGUUCUCAUGUCAUGGCUUCUCUGUGCCCUCAAAAGAGCAUAGGACUGAGGGUGUGUGAAGGCUCUGCUUCAGCAACUCAAAACCUAGGGCAUCUCAGAGCUAACCCAAGACCCACAUUCUGAACCACUGGCAAGUGGAGCAGCAUCCUAGGGAAGCUCCAGGUUGGCCCAAUACCUGCCUGAAUCUGAUGAAAUUAGAAUGGAGCCAGGCCAGCUAGAGGGAACACGGUAACUAGAAAGUCGGCAGCCUGUCAUGAAAACUAAAUGGCCCCAUCUAGGACAGUAAAUAACAAUCUGGAGACUUGGGGCAACAUGAAGUACCUUUCCGCCUAGGCAAGCAACUUACUUCUUGACAGGAUCAACGUUUUCACAUCUCCACUAAUGCUGCAACUGCCACUGAGAAGAAUUAAACCUCAUGGUUCUUUGAAACCAUUGUUUAGUCAAGUUUCUGUUAUUUGGGGCCGAACAUAAACACUAACCAACCCAAGAUGGGCUGAUGGUGAAGAAGGUUCUAGAAAUGGAGUAGCAAAACCAAUCAAAGAACCGAAGAGGUGAGAAUGAAAACUGGGUCGGAAGAGAUGCAACAUGUGGCAAUCUGCAUUUCCCGAGGAGGAGACAGAGCUUCUAUGAACAUCCAGACCUCAUUUGCAUACAUCCCUGGGCCGAAUAGGUAUCUCAAGAAAAGAGAAGUCACAAGUAGACUGACUGCGCAGGCAGUGCAAUUCCUAUACGCAAAUUAACACUUCGACUUUGGGCAUAUCAGGCUAUUGAUAGUGAACUUAAUUUGCCUGGCUUGCCAUUCAGGUUGGAUCACACCUAAGGACACUAGGCAAGCCAGUUUCCUAAUAUAAUCUAAUUUUAAACAUAAUACCAUCAUUCUGGUUGUAACAACGUACUCUUAGUUUUCCUUUCAUAAUAUCCUGGAUGGACUCCAUUUACCUCCCUGGAACUGAGCCCUGGUCGGGCAAUGGAAAAACCAAAGCUUGAAGCCACAGCCGUCUGCUUAACCCAGCACCACUAAGCAGCUGGAAGACCUUGAGCAAGCCACUUAAGUACCCCGUGCUUUGGGUUUCUCAUCUGUCAAAAGACAACAGUCAUCCUGACUUCUGUGGAUUAUCACAGAGCAUGGCGGAAAGGGCUUAGCACAAGGCUGAUCACGCUGCAGGCGAAGAACUGAAGAGUGGUACAUACUCCCUGCCUUGCCAACCCCCCGUCUCUCCUUGCUGCUCAUACGAAAUUGACUCUGAGUUUCACCUGCUCUUUUAAAUCUGACGUCAAAUCAGGAAUUCUCCACCUUGAAACUCUUCCAUAUGUGAACUCUGCCCGUACUGGUACCUGAGUUUGCUUUCCCACGCAUCAAGUGAUGAGCUUGGCCCUUUCCUCUCUGCUCCCUGAGUUCCUGAGCUACCACUAAUGAUUGCUACUGGUCAGCAUCCCCCACACUCUGUGAGGGCCUGAAGUUAAAACCCUGUUGUGUCUGUUGUUCUAUCUCCAGCUCCUAGUUCAGUUCUUGACCCAUAGUUAAUGCUCACAGACUCAUGGAAUAAAUGAAGGAAUGAAUGAA